rnacentral:rRNA from 1 species
UACAGAGAGUGCAAGCGUUAAUCGGAAUUACUGGGCGUAAAGCGCGCGUAGGUGGAUUCUUAAGUCGGAUGUGAAAUCCCUGGGCUUAACUCAGGAAUUGCAUUCGAUACUGUGAGUCUAGAGUAUAGUAGAGGGAAGUGGAAUUUCAGGUGUAGCGGUGAAAUGCGUAGAUAUCUGAAGGAACACCAGUGGCGAAAGCGGCUUCCUGGACUAAUACUGACACUGAGGUGCGAAAGCGUGGGGAGCAAACAGG